AUCUUCACGGUGACGCCGCGCCCGGUCUUAAAUCCCGCUUCUUCCAGCCAGUCGCCCUUAAGAUGCAGGCUGGGGAUUUGUGAGUAAUAGGUGGUCAUGUGGGUUUUGCUGUUGAUGUGGCGGACGCUG
rnacentral:sRNA from 3 species